rnacentral:rRNA from 1 species
UACGGAGGGGGCAAGCGUUGUUCGGAAUUACUGGGCGUAAAGGGCGCGUAGGCGGCUUGGCAAGUUGGGCGUGAAAGCCCUGGGCUUAACCCAGGAAUUGCGUUUGAGACUGCCAGGCUUGAGUGCGGGAGAGGUGAGUGGAAUUCCCAGUGUAGAGGUGAAAUUCGUAGAUAUUGGGAAGAACACCAGUGGCGAAGGCGGCUCACUGGCCCGCAACUGACGCUGAGGCACGAAGCAACUGGGUGGAGCAAACA